rnacentral:rRNA from 1 species
UUGGCUCAGGAUGAACGCUGGCGGCGUGCCUAAUACAUGCAAGUCGAGCGAGAAUCAAGUGAACGGAGAUUCGUCGAAGAGAUCUUGAGGAAAGCGGCGGACGGGUGAGUAACGCGUAGGCAACCUGCCCUUAGCAGAGGGAUAGCCAUUGGAAACGACGAUUAAAACCUCAUAAUGCUGUGAGAUCACAUGAUCUUGCAGCCAAAGAUUUAUCGGCUAAGGAUGGGCCUGCGUCUGAUUAACUAGUUGGUGAGGUAACGGCCCACCAAGGUGACGAUCAGUAGCCGACCUGAGAGGGUGAUCGGCCACAUUGGAACUGAGACACGGUCCAAACUUCUACGGGAGGCAGCAGUGGGGAAUA